GUAUUCCGAAGAUUCCAUAUGUACCCAAUGCUGGAGCUCGAGACGUCUUGUGUUUCCAACACUACAAUGCAGAAGAAGGACAUGACCCCUGAGGGAAGCACUCUGGAGGACUCCAACAGCAACCUGGAUGAGAUGACAGACCUGGCCCUGCAGCUGCAGAAUAGGACUGGGGUGAAGGUGCUGUGGGUCACCUGCAAUCUGUUCGCUCACUCAAGGUCAGCUUUCCUCACCAACCUUAGUCAUUUUUACACUCCAAAGGUUAUUUUCACUCUUCAAAUUGGAAGAGAUGAUAAUCUGUUGUAGGCUGUAUAAUAGAGAAUAUAUGGUAUAUUAUUGGCUAUAUGCAUUGUUUUUCACAAUAUUUAUGUCUAAUUGUCCAGAUUUCACGAUGACGCCAUCUCUUUGCCAUUCGACUUAGAGUCUACAUUUUAUUUUAAUUAAUUUUUAUUGCCAAUACCAUAGGUACAUGAAUGGAGCAGUGUCCAACCCUGACUGCUAUGUUUUUGAAGAAAGGAUUGGAUGUAGCCAAGAUGAUAACCUGAUUGUGUUAUUGUAUAUCAGAGUACAAGGAGAAGAUAGGGUUGAAGUGCCAGUUCCUCAUUGAACCCAAGCCUAAAGAGAAAUACAAACAUCAGUACGACUAUGGUAAGGCUUUUAGGUGUAUAACACAACAUUAACAUAAUGUACACAUUGUAAGGUUCUACUAUGUGGUUACUGUUGAACUAUGGAGGCCCUCAAGAGUCAGUUUAUCUGCAUUACUAACCACAUCUAACAAUUAGAUGCUAGAAAAUCUCUGAUGCCUUUAAUUUCCAUCUUACAUCUCUUUGUACAUGUUGCUGUUUCACCUUUUUAUAGAUGCAAUGAGUGUCAUAGGCUUCCUGAAGCAUUAUGACCUGGACAGCCAUUUCAAACUGAACAUCGAACCCAACCACACCACUCUGGCUGGGCAUUCCUAUGAACACGACGUCGUCAUGGCCUCUGUGUAAAUCGCCAUGUUGACUUUCACGUUUCCCAAACCGACCCCCUAUCACCUGCUCUCUACCUCGAUGGACUUGUGUAGGUCUGGAGAGAUUGAAUAGGUCGAAUCAAUAUGUUAAUGCGCCACCUUGCCCUCCGGUAGGGUAGAUGUAAUGAUAGGGGAGUUAUAAUUUUCACCAUAUUUUUUACACCUUUCAGAAGUGUAUAGGGGGUAGGGCCUAGUGGUCUUUUUUGGACUGGGUGGUUGAUGUCAUUCCUGGUAAUCUGGAUGUUCCAGUCCAGUUAACCUAAUAAGCUUGUUGUUCUGGUGUGUAGGUUUGGCAUGCUGGGCUUUGUGGACUCCAACAUGGGUUUUUAUUUAUUUAUUUUUUAUUUCACCUUUAUUUAACCAGGUAGGCAAGUUGAGAACAAGUUCUCAUUUACAACUGCGACCUGGCCAAGAUAAAGCAAAGCAGUUCGACACAUACAACAACACAGAGUUGGAGUAACACAUGGAGUAAAACAAACAUACAGUAGAAAAAUAAGUAUAUAUACAAUGUGAGCACAUAAGGUGAGAUAAGGGAGGUAAAGGCAAUAAAUAGGCCAUGGUGGCGAAGUAAAUGCAAUAUAGCAAUUAUAACACUGGAAUGGUAGAUUUGACAGUAGAUGAGUGUGCAAAGUAGAAAUACUGGGGUGCAAAGGAGCAAAAUAAAUAAAUACAGUAGGGGAAGAGGUAGUUGUUUGGGCUAUGUACAGGUGCAGUGAUCUGUGAGCUACUCUGACAGCUGGUGAGGGAGAUAAGUGUUUCCAGUUUCAGAGAUUUUUGUAGUUCGUUCCAGUCAUUGGCAGCAGAGAACUGGGUUCUCCUGACCUGACCUGGGCUGGGACACAGACCAGUUCCCCAUGGACAUCAGGAACACCACCAUGAUCAUGAAGAUGACAUAGGAGAUAAUGUAUGCACACACACACAAUUACUAAUAAAGUUAUUUUAUGAUGAUACCUAUCAUAUAUCAGAACGUCAGAAGAAAGGGCAUAAUAAAAUGCAUUGUUUUAUCCUCCCCAGACUGUGAUAGAGCAGGGUGGUCUGCAGCCGGGGGGUCUGAACUUCAAUGCUAAGGUGCGUAGGGAGUCCACAGACCUGGAGGACCUGUUCAUAGCCCACAUCGGAGCCAUGGACGCCUUCGCAUGCGGCCUGAGGAAUGCGGUCAGGAUCAUAGAGGAAGGAGUUAUGACCAGCAUGGUCAAGGUAAUGGGGCAUCAUUUUCAUUAAUUCAUUCGUUCACGUAUUCACUUAAUCUCUGGGAUGGUCAAGG
ensembl:lncRNA